rnacentral:lncRNA from 1 species
GGUGCGUCCGUGUGACCCGCUUCCUUCACUUAGGAUCCAACUUCAACAGCUUCUACUGAAGGGCAUAUUAAAGGUGCGUGCUGACAAACAGGUAGACAGACAGACAGACACACACACAUGAAAGGGCUGUGAGGUCAAAUGGACCCCAUAGAACUGAGAAGUGUCAACAUCGAACCAUACGAGGACAGCUGCAGCGUGGAUAGCAUUCAAAGCUGCUACACCGGGAUGGGGAACUCCGAGAAGGGAGCCAUGGACAGUCAAUUUGCUAAUGAAGAUGCCGAAAGUCAGAAGUUCCUGAC